rnacentral:rRNA from 1 species
GACGAACGCUGGCGGCGUGCUUAACACAUGCAAGUCGAACGAAACUUGAUUACUGAUUUUUCGGAUGAAGUAGGAUAUCACGGAGGUGCGGAGGGGGUAGUCACGCGUGGGUAACCUGCUCUUCAGAGGGGGCUAGCGCUUGGAAACGAACGGUAAUACCGCAUAAUGUAUUUUGACCGCAUGAUCGAACUACUAAAGAUUUAUCGCUGAAGGAUGGACUGGCGUCUGGUUAGGUAGCUGGCGGGGUAACGGCCUACCAAGCGGACGAUCAGUAGCCGGACAGGGAGGUUGACCGGCCACAUAGGGAGUGAGACACGGCCCAGACUCGUGCGGCAGGAAGGAGUGGGGAAUAUUGAACAAUGGGAGCAAGCCUGAUGCAGCAACGCUGCGUGAAGAAAGCCGGUUUUCGGAUAGUAAACUUCUGUUCUUAGGGAAGAAUAGUGACGGUAACUAAGGAGCAAGCCACGGCUAACUACGUG